rnacentral:pre_miRNA from 2 species
AGAGUUCCGCGCGCUCUCCGGAGCCGUUAUGAGAGAAGAUUUCCGAUCUCAUCCCAUAACGGAGUCCCGAAGCCAACUCA